UAGGUCCCAUGCCCAUCGCUUUGGGGUAAUUCAGCUUUAUGUUUAUAAAUUUAUAAAUUUAUCUUUAGAGAUCUGUCUUCAGAACACAAUCACAUCACUGACACAGCAAAGGGGGUAGAAGAACGUCAGACAGCUCAUGGCCAAGGAAGAGAUGCAGAAGAGGAGCUGGAAAAGCUCUCAGAUCCAGAGACAGCGGAACGAGGCCGACCAAGAAUCACGGUGCUGUUCAUUUCAGACAUGGGAGCAGAAGACAAGAUUUCAGACUCAUACACACUGCGACCCCAUGCCCGACUUCAAAAAAACAGUGAUUCAUCCAGACACCAAAGCUCAGCAGCUCAGAGUCAACCUCAAAUAUAGUCAAAGCUCACCAAGUGCUCCCCCAAGAAAAAUAGAACCUAAGUGCCUGACGACCUUUACCGCAGGCAUAUUUUUAGGGACGUGCCUAUCCCGUAUACUUCUUGCUCCCUCACGUAGAAGGAAAUCUCUAGAAUAACACCUCCAACUGAGCCUCUCUUCCUCCAACUCUCUUGCUCCCCAGGCUUUUCGCCGGAGGCAGGUAGGAUGGAGAAGAUCCCACUCGAAAGGAGACAGAAGUUCACCUCAGUAGGACAGCCCACUUUAUCAUUUAUUUUUAGAACGCCAUGGAUUUGGCCCCAAAAGAAGUGGCUGAUGGUGCUCUGGAAGGCAUUAGCACAUUUGCCCGGCAAUGGAUAUUUGAACCUUUUGCAAAAAUAUUGCAGUUUUGACCUCAUUAUCCUUUUAUAGUCAGUCAGGAAUACUUUUUUUAAAAAAAUUUAUUUAUUUGUUUGACAGAGAGGGCACAAGCAGGGGAAGAGGGCGAAGGAGACUCUCCGUUGAGCAGGGAGCCUGCCGUGGGGCUCAAACCCAGAACCCUGGGAUCAUGACCUGAGCCCAAGGUGCUCACUUAACCAACUGAGCCACUUAGGUGCCCUUCAAGAAUUCUUAAUAAGCUUGAGUAGCAUGAGUGGAACUUCCCUUGUGUAUCACUGAUACUAUUCUUUUAUUUUUUU
rnacentral:lncRNA from 1 species